rnacentral:rRNA from 1 species
UACGUAGGGUGCGAGCGUUGUCCGGAAUUAUUGGGCGUAAAGAGCUUGUAGGCGGUCUGUCGCGUCUGCUGUGAAAAUCCGGGGCUCAACCCCGGACUUGCAGUGGGUACGGGCAGACUAGAGUGUGGUAGGGGAGACUGGAAUUCCUGGUGUAGCGGUGAAAUGCGCAGAUAUCAGGAGGAACACCGGUGGCGAAGGCGGGUCUCUGGGCCGUAACUGACUCUGAGGAGCGAAAGCAUGGGGAGCGAACAGG